AUUCUUCCCUUAUUUCUUUUUGCACUUGAAGAUGGCGGUAAAGGAAAUUCUAGGAGAAUGAUGCAUUCGAGUAAUCUGAAAGAUGAGAGUGACAAGCAAGAGAAUAGUAGAGGACAAGAACAUCCAAUGAACCAUGAAUUUGAGGGAGGAGGGGAUGCUAAUAAAAAGAGUCCCAAAAUGUUUCAGUGUGGAGAUAUUGGGCAUUAUGCGUUCGAUUGCACUUCCAGUGAAAAGUUGUGUUUCAUUGUAAGAAUCCAGGACAUUUUAUAAAAGAAUGUGAAGAACUGAAAGAGAAAACCUUUAGUGAAUGCUGCUAAAGCAUGAAAUUGUAGAUCUAUCUUUCAUGAGAUUUAGAUCGUCUCAAUAUGUAUUUUUCUCAAUUUUUCUUCAAUCUUAAUCUUAUGUGAGUUUUUAGGUCUUGCAUGUAGUUUAUGAAGAUUGCAUGUUACUUUGAAUGGUUAAUUUUGUUUAGAAAAUUAUAAUGUUUCAAUGUUCUUUUGUUUUUGGAUAUGAUUUGAGGCUUUAAUUUGAGUAUUUCAGAUUCAAGAAAUUUGUUGUUUUAUGAGAUUUUGAGAUUACCGCAUUUCUAUGAGUGUUGAAAAAGAAAUAGGAAGAAUAUUUGAAUUGUUCAUGAGACCUAUACUUGAUUUUGUAUAAAAAGUUGAUUUUUAUACUUAUUUUUAAAUUUUGACGCUCAAAAUAGAUAUCAAGAGUCUAAGUCUCCCAAAUGAUAAAUAUUUUGUGCCGAUUAAGUUGCUUUUAAAUUAUUUUUUUAGUAGAAUUAAGUUUUUUGUCACAGGAUUUGAAUUUAUGCAUUAAGUUAUAAAUUUAAGAAAAAUGACUAAUUUUGGAGACUAUGGUACAAUUAAGGAUGUAAACCAUAAGGAUGGUAAUCUUUUAGUUAGAGAAAGCAACUGGGUUAGCCUUUGAUGCAUUAAAGCCUUAUUUAGAGGUUUCGAAUGAUUUGGGGAAUAUCUUUUGGGCAUCUACGGUUUUGGUUCAUUUGAAUUGAUAGAAAUAAUCACAUUUUUAGAGGAGGGAUAUUUAAUGUAGAUGAUACUAAAAUUCUAUCAAAUUUUGCUCUUGGAGAGGGUCUGUUUUAGACUCUAACUUAUCUACCUGCUAUGAUUUCUAUGACAGAUUUAUUUCUCUUGUAACUGUUUAAGUGGAUGUAACAUUUCCGCAUCUCCUUUGUAAAGAUUUUGAGUACCCUUAUUCUCCUUUUGAUAUUUUUAUUGCCUAUAAAAAUACCACUUUAGGUUUAUUCAUAUUUUAAAAAUGAUUCUUUUUGAGCAUAAAGUAAACAUAUCUAUUUAUAAUCCAUUAAAAUGCACCUUUGCGUUUUAACAUUUCAAUUUCCUUUUUGGCAUAUAAUUCAUAUUAUCAUGUUUCUCAUGUUGCAGUAUCUUUUAAAUUCAUCUUUACUUCUAAAAAAGUUAAAACAAAUAUUUAUUUGCUAUAAAAGGUCAUGAAUUUAAAUUAUGACAAAUUCAAAAAUAUUUUAAUCUAUGAAUAUAUAUAUAUAUAUAUAUAUAUAUAUAUAUAUAUAUAUAUAUAGUAUAUAUAUAUAUAUAUAUAUAUAUAUAUAUAUAUAUAUAUAUAUAUAUAUAUAUAUAUAUAUAUAUAUAUAUAUAUAUAUAUAUAUAUAUAUAUUAUAUAUAUAUAUAUAUAUUUGUUUUGGAAUAAAUUCUUCUUUUAUAAAAAUAAGUUAAUUUUAUUUUUGAUAUAUCUUUUUAAUAUUAAACUCUAAAACAAUUUAAGUUUAUUUCAAUUUUAACAAAUUAAAUAGUACUUAUUUAUGAUACCAUUUUGAAUACUACCAUGGAAAGUUGGUCGUUAGUUUUAAGGUUUUAUUUUAAAAUCACAUUACAAGCAUUAAAUAUAUAUAAUAUAAUAGAUAUAUCAUUUUCUUGCAUAUUGAUAUUAUGUUCAGAAUCCAACUCAUUACAAUAUUUUAAAGAAGAUGAUUUCAUGACUCAUUUUUGAAGUUGCAUAUUUCUGAUACCUUAAGUGUUAUGAUUUUGUUGUUUGUCUUAUAAGCGUUUGGUUCUAGUUUUUAUCUUAUUGAGUCUCCUCAUCAAUUAUGCAAUUGAUAUUUAGAUUCGUAUUUUAGCAUGUAUGAGUCCAAGUAUUUGAUUAUAGCUUAAGCAAUAUGAUUGAAAUCAUCAAUCUAUUGAGUUUGUCAGUCAAAAACUAUGAUUGAGAAUGAUUCAAAUCAUGACCAUUGUAGAAUCUCAAAAAUCCUUUAAAAAUUAAUGAAAAGGAAAUUUGGCCAGUGUAACUUGAAUUACACAGUUAGUCUGACUUGAAUCAGAGGAUAUAUUUUCAGAUCUUCUAAUUCGAAUCAAAGGAAGGUCUGAUUUGAAUUAAAGCAAUUUGAAUCAAAUCACAAAAUUGUGUGAUUCGAAUCACUGUGAAAUGGAAAUUCUCCUGGUGGCUUUUAGAACUAUGACUGGGAGCAACCGAUUAUUUGACUCGAGUCAAGUGAUUUGAAUCACAGACCUUGUGAUUCAAAUCACACAAAUGAAUUUCAUAUAGUUUUUGCUUAUUGAUUCAAAUCAUUUGGUUUUUUGAUUCCAAUUAUAACUCUUGCUUUGAACUUAAAUCAUACACCAUUUUUGUCUCAUUUUUAGGCUAGAUCUCCAACACAUAUAGAUACCGUUUUUCUCUCAAAAACCUUCAAAAUAUUAGAAAACACACACUUCCAAUAUUAAUUUGAAAACUCACAAACUACUUGUUCUCUCAUAUUUCCAAAAGAGUUUUAAAUCUUUUUUGAACACUUGUAAGUGAUUUCUUUCAUCUUCUACCUUAUUCUUUAUCCAUUAUUACAUGGAUAAGAAUCUCAUAUUUUGAGAUUCGUGAUUGUUUUUGAGAUGUUUUUGAAUUUAAUGUGUCUUUGAAUAUUUAAUUAAGAUUUUAGAGGUUCUCAAGAUGUGAGAUGUUGUGGUUAGUUUCGACAAUUCGAGUAAAAAAGAAGGACAUUCUUCUCUUCAGGUCUAUAUUGGUAGCGUUGUGUGGAAGCCUACAGACAAGGUGAGAGUUCUUCUCAAUCUUCGGACAUACCAACACUUAAGAUACCGACAGGAUUAAGUAAAGAUCAUUGCAGAGCAGAGACUUUGGAGUAGGUUUUGGGCGUGAAGAUUUCAUAAAGAGUUUAGCUUGUAGGUGUGAAGACAAACUUCCAACAAAUUUUGAUGAAGACAAUGCAUUCAAGCUUAAAUUUCAUUAUCAAAGAAGAAGAGAAAAAAUUGCUUUUGGUCAAUCAAGGUAUAUGGAAAUUCAUAUCAUAUGCAAUCUUAAAGUGCUCAAUUUUACUGAUCAUACAUUUGAAAAUAUUCAUGUCAUACUUUGUUAAAAUGUUUUUUAAAAUGUUUUAAUUGCAUUAGUUGAAAAUAAAUUUUGAUGCAUGCAUAAAGUUGUGGACUUAGAAUUUUUUUCAAUUUAAUUAAGCAAGCAAUUGAUUGACAAAAUUGUGCAAUAGAUUGAAUAGAACUUUGAAAUUUAAAAUUUUAACCACUGCAAUCGAUUAACAUGUUUCUGCAAUCGAUUGCAUCAGUUCAUUUUUUCAAUUUUUUAGUCCUUGCAAUCGAUUGACAGGAUUGUGCAAUCAAUUGUACCUAAACAAGUUUGGAAAAAUACUGAUUCAUGUUCACUACUUCACUCACUCCUUUUCAUGGCAUCUCUUAAAUUAAUCUCAUUAUAUUUCAUAAAUAUUUUCAAACCAUUGCCAUAUUUUAUCAAGGAUGCUUUCAUCACUAUAAAUACAUUCACAGUUUCAUUUUACAUUCACCUCUUUCAAAUUAAUCAUGAAAUCUCUCUGCAUAAUUUUCAAUAGAACCUUUACACUAAUAUACUUUUUGAAAUACAUUUUUAUAUCAUAUUCAACAAAGUAUCUUUGAGCAUUUAUAGAGCAUUUGUUCUUGAAUCUUCAUAUUUUGGAAGAGAAGAAGACUUUUAUCAUUUGAUUAAAUCUUGUCCAUUAUACAAACUUACUUAUUAUACAUAUUAUUACUGUAAAUUCCUAAGUAUCAAGGCUUGCACAGAAACUUCUGCAGAUACAAUUCAACCAGAAUCAAAAUCUGAGUUAGAUUCUGAAGAGGUAUUUUCUGAACUUUCUUGUUCUGAGCUGGAAUCUAGUUUAUCAAAAGUUCUGGAAAAAUAUCAAAAUCUUCUGAACAAAUACAAGAAUCUGAAGAAGAUUCAUGUAUUUGAAUCAGAAGCUUACUAUAAGCUUCAGAAAGACUUUUCAAGUUUGAGUGAAGAAAAUCUCAUUUUGAAAAACAACAACUCUGUGCCUCAAAGGAAGAGUCUCAAAUCCGAAAAGAAAAUUCUUUCAAAAGCCUCUACAGGUUCCGGUGAUAUCAUAAAGAAAUAUGAUCAAUAUUUCCAUAAAUUUCUUGAUAUAAGCCUGAAUAGAAGCUUAAUGGAUUCCAUGAUUUAUGGCGUUGGUAGAAAUGGAAUAAGGGGCAUUGACUAUGAUUCUGAUGAAAUAUAUUUCGGAAAAAGAUGAUAAGCCCGAUACUUUUCGGUCCCAUUUUGUCCCUUUUGGGAAACAAAAUUGAGUUAUGCCUAAACGUAGAAUCGCUUCUAAACCUAAGGCUAAAGUGAAACCUCAUUCCCAUUUCAAUUAUGCAUACAUGUAUAUAUAUCCUGCACAAAAACCCAAGUUUGUUAAGAAAUCUAGGAAGACUAACCCCAAAGGAUCCAGAAAGAUGUGGGUACCUAAGGACAAGAUAGUAUAUAUUGCAUAUAUCCUUAGAAAUAGAGUUGAGACACCAGUCAUGGUACCUGAACUCUGAAUGCUCGUGACACAAGACGGGAAGAAUGCAUAUGAUCCAAAGCUUGGAACUUAAGCCCAGAGGCAUCCUCAGUUUCAUAGGUGAUCAGAAAGGGAAGAUCACUGACUUCAGAAUAGUAGGUAACAAUAAUCUCCCUUCCAUUACUAAUGUUCUUUUAGUUGAAGGAUUAAUGUAUUGUCUUUUGUCCAUAAGUCAAUUAAGUAGCAAUGGUUAUGACAUUAUUUUCCAUUAAAAGUCCUGUAAAGGUGUCAGUGAAAAUGAUAGCUCAGUUCUUUUCAAUGGAAAAAGGAAGAAUAAAGUUUAUAAGAUAAGACUUUCUGAUUUGAAGAAUCAAAAUGUAAAAUGUCUUAUGUUUGUAAAUGAAGAGAAAUGGACGUGGCAUAAACGAUUGGGCCAAGUUAGCAUGGGGAUGAUUUCUCAGUUAAAUAAGCUUAAUUUAGUCAGAGGCCUACCAAAUAUGAAGUUUGCUUCAGAUGCUUUGAAAGGAAAGUUUUCUAAAACUUCUUUCAAGGCUAAAAAUGUUGUCUCAACAUCCAGACCAUUGGAGCUUCUUCAUAUUAACUUGUUUAGACCAGUGAAAACUGCCUUUGUCAAUGGUAAAAAAUAUAGACUGGUCAUUGUUGAUGACUACAGCAGAUGGACAUGGGUGGAAUUUCUCAAACACAAGGAUGAGUCACAUUCUGUGUUUUCUACCUUCUGCUCUCAAGUGCAAAAUGAGAAGGAUCUCAGAAUUGUAAAAGUCAGAAGUGAUCAUGGUGGAGAUUUUGAAAACAAAGAUUUUGAAUAACUCUUUGAUACUAAUGACAUUUCCCAUGAUUUCUCAUGCCCUAGAACUCCACAACAAAAUGGAGUUGUAAAGAGUAAGAAUAGGACUCUGCAAGAGAUGGCCAGAACCAUGAUCAACGAGACUAAUAUGACUAAGCACUUUUGGGCAGAGGCAGCCAACACAUCAUGUUAUAUUCAGAACAAGAUCUCUAUAAGACCUUUUAUGGAUAAUACUCCUUAUGAAUUAUGGAACAAUUUGAAGCCAAACAUUUUAUAUUUUCAUUCUUUUGGAUGUUUUUGUUUUAUACUGAACACUAAAAGGAAUCUGAGCAAGUUUGAUUCUAAGGUGCAGAAGUGCAUCGUGCAACUAUGGCUUCCUGAUUCAUAGGUAGAUUAACACCAAUUCCAUCAAAUCCAUCUAUAAUAGCAGUAGUUCUCUCAUCCUCACUAUCAUCAAAACCUUCAACACCCUCAUCAUUUAAUCAUUCCAUAUUUGUCAUCCCAUUAAUGCAUCUAGGUACUCUUACUUAAAGUUCUAUGUCAUUCACAUCAUGUUCCAGAUAAAUACCACCAUCAACUUGAAUGGCACAAGCAUAUGCAGCAAAAUCGUAUCCAUCAUCAUCCUUCCUCAACUGAAAGAAAUUUCCAUCUAUUUCAAGAAUUUUCAUCCACAUCCUAUAACUUCCUUCUUUAUAACCCCACCCCUUCACCAUGUUAUGGAUUUUAAACAUUGUCCACUUGUCAAUCUAUUGUGAGGAAACGAUCGUAUCCACACCACCUCUAUAUAUGAUGUCGUUCUCCUUUACCAUUAUAAAUUCACCUCCAUGGUGAAAAGUCACAUUAAAAUGUUGCAUGUUAUGUGAAAGGGGUUCGCAAAAAGGUUUAAUGUUCAACAUUACAAUCAAUACAUAAACAAGCCCGAACAUUGGACGAGAGUUCGAACAAACUAACCUCAGACAUUGAAAGCUUCAAUGGCGUCUUCGUGCUUUGCCUUCAAUCAUGCAAUGUAAUUCAUCAUUGUUCGUCCUCCAAAAAUAAGCUCGUGAUGCUUCAAUGGCUACUUCAAAGGCGUUCUUCAAAUUCGUCUCUUCGAUGGGUUUAUGAAUUUGGGACCAAACUAAUC
rnacentral:lncRNA from 1 species